rnacentral:rRNA from 1 species
GAGUUUGAUCCUGGCUCAGAUUGAACGCUGGCGGCAUGCCUUACACAUGCAAGUCGAACGGCAGCAUGAUCUAGCUUGCUAGAUUGAUGGCGAGUGGCGAACGGGUGAGUAAUACAUCGGAACGUGCCCUGUAGUGGGGGAUAACUAGUCGAAAGAUUAGCUAAUACCGCAUACGACCUGAGGGUGAAAGUGGGGGACCGCAAGGCCUCAUGCUAUAGGAGCGGCCGAUGUCUGAUUAGCUAGUUGGUGGGGUAAAGGCCCACCAAGGCGACGAUCAGUAGCUGGUCUGAGAGGACGAUCAGCCACACUGGGACUGAGACCGA